GUGGGGAAUAUUGGACAAUGGGCGAAAGCCUGAUCCAGCCAUGCCGCGUGUGUGAAGAAGGUCUUCGGAUUGUAAAGCACUUUAAGUUGGGAGGAAGGGCAGUAAGUUAAUACCUUGCUGUUUUGACGUUACCGACAGAAUAAGCACCGGCUAACUUCGUGCCAGCAGCCGCGGUAAUACGAAGGGUGCAAGCGUUAAUCGGAAUUACUGGGCGUAAAGCGCGCGUAGGUGGUUCAGCAAGUUGGAGGUGAAAUCCCCGGGCUCAACCUGGGAACUGCUUUCAAAACUGCUGAGCUAGAGUACGGUAGAGGGUGGUGGAAUUUCCUGUGUAGCGGUGAAAUGCGUAGAUAUAGGAAGGAACACCAGUGGCGAAGGCGACCAUCUGGACUGAUACUGACACUGAGGUGCGAAAGCGUGGGGAGCAAACAGGAUUAGAUACCCCAGUAGUCC
rnacentral:rRNA from 1 species